CUCCAGCAGAUAAAUCGGAGUAAUGUGUAUGACCUUAUUGGAGUGUCCAACCAUUAUGGUGGUCUAGGAGGUGGCCAUUAUACUGCAUACUGUAAGAAUGCUGUAGAAAAUGCCUGGUACUAUUUUGAUGAUUCAAGUGUGUCCGAGUCUUCUGAGGAAGCCACUGUGUCAAAGGCUGCAUAUGUACUGGUAUAUCAGAAACGUGGCACUUGGAAGAACAUCAAGAACACCACAGCAGCUUCCUCAACCACAACAUCUGAGGACAUUGAAAUCAACGGCUUAGACUCGGAAAAAGGAGAUGGCGAGGCAAACAAAAUGGAAGUGAAUUGAUACGGAAUUUAUUAGGAGUGCAAAUUUACAUUUAUUAUUUAUUUUGUAUUUAUCGGUCUUGUGAUAGGGACCCUUGGAUUUUAUAUUUUGAUGUGUACACAUUAGCAGAUGUUAUAUUAUUUGAUAAAUCCAAGAUUAUACAUUUGUUUUGCUAACCGUAUUAAGACAGAAACUGUGUUUUGUUAUAGCCAUAUCCUUAAAACCAGGCUCUUUUUUUUUUAAGAAAAGAAAAAUUUGUUUUUGUUUAUAAGUGAUUGAAUAGAGAAUUUGAAAAAAACUGUCAAGCAUAGUGUAUGUUUGGUUAAUUAACUUGAUUUCUUCUCAGUGACUCUGGUUUUACUUUACUGAAUGCUUUGAUAAUAAUUGGACAUGUAGUGUAUCAUUACAAUGUACUCGCAUAAGAUACUUGCUUUCCAAAUAUUUGUCAGACAGAGGAAUGAUUACCUGCUUUCUUCAUUCAAAAAUCAUAUUUGUUAAUUUAUUAUAAUAACACAAGUAUUAAUCUACCAGUUUUAUGUAUAAAAUUAUGGUAUUUGAAAGAAAUAGCAUUUUUUCUAUUACACUGUAUUAUUUUCUAUUACCGUAAAUUUUGAAUUUUUAAGGGAACUCCCAUCAUUAUAGCAUACAUUUUAAUGCAAAACAGAGAUAUUUUCUGUAACAGUUAAGAGUAGUUACACUUCUGGAUUAGAUCUGAGUAAUACAUAUAGUUGAGGACAGAUUUGUCCUGUAUAUAUUGUUUAAGAGAAAUGAUUUGUAUUGAUUUAAAAUUUAGAAAUCCAGUAUACAUCAUGUGCUAUUGUUCUGAUUUGUAUGAAGGAGAACUCGUAUAAAAACAUAUUACUACUGUACUUUAAUUUUAUUAUAUUACUUCAUCACAUUUUGCUUUAACUGAAAAUUAAAAAGUACACACAAAAAACAAUCAAAAAUAUAGUUUGGUGCUGUAACAGUGUUGGGUACACAAAUGGUUCGGGAUGUUGAAGCUAUAAACUGUGUCUGUGGUCAAAUGGUUGAGGUGGUUGACUUCAAACCACUUAAUCCUUACCACCAUGGUGUUGAAUCCCAUUAGGGACUUUGGAUUCUUUCAUGUGAGCAAGUUAUCCAGCUAGCUGAUGGAACUUGGUUGUUAAAUAAAUAAAUUAUGGGGUUUUUUUAUCAAGAAGACAAUAUUUCUAUAUAUAGUUGGGGAGGGAAAUAUCAAACAGUUGUGUGUACUAAACAAGUCAUUUUUAUAUCAUUUUAUACUGGAGUAUGAUAUAUUUAUUAGUCAAGCUUUGGGAGUAGAACUACUUUAUUGCUAUAUUUAUCUUAUCAUAUCUGGAUAUCUUAUACAUGAAUAUAAGGUAUUAUAGCAUCUUGACAAACAACUGGUGUAUAUGAAAUGAUUGUGACCAUUAACAGAAGAGAAUAAAACUGACAUGUGUUAACUAUGUGGUAAUAAGGCAAUGCUACUUUUUCUCUAUUGGCAAUAUUGCCUUAACAUAUUGAGAUUUUGGAAAUCCCACAAUAGGAAAUUAAGUAUUUCUUCAAUGUUGUUUUCUUAAGUACAUGUAUUAUUAAAUACAAAAGCAUAAAUCAUCGAGGUUAUACAAACUUUACAGGUACACUUUACAGAAAUACAGUAAAUAUGUUCUGGGCGGAUGAAAAAAUCAUAUAUGACAGUUUAUAAAGUUUCUAUAGAACUGUUUGUCUUUGUUUAUUCUUUCAGAGUAAUGAUAUUCUUUGAUUUAGUAAAAAAACAAACACACAGCUAAAAACGUUGUAGUACUAUUAGCUGAGGGAAAUAGAUAGUUUUUAGUCUUUAUUAUUUUCUGGUACAGUUUCAUGUAGAUCUCUGCUCCGGAAACUAGCUGAAAACUUUCCGUUAUAGACUGGCUUUGAUUGUGAAACUUUAUUGAAAGUUUCUAUUCCAGUGAAUUGAACUUAUUUCUAUGAAAUAAAGUGAUUGAAGAACAAAGCAUUGAUUGCUUGUCAUGUGUUUAGUCAGACACUUAAAUUGUUUGUUUUGAAAAUUGUGCAUGAAUGUUUUGAUUUUUUGUGUGGAAUGCAUGUGUUUCAGUUGAUAGUUUAUGUGGAAAAAAUGUACAGUGGUUUAUAAAGUAAAGAACUUGUAAAGAAAAGUGAAAUAAUAUUUAAUGGGGGGCAAUGUGUAUUUAUGAUUCAAGACUUUAAUUUCAUUUUAAAGAUGUUUAAAUCUAUAUAAAAGUAAGUACCAUCUAUUUUCUAGUGUAUAGAAAUGUAGUUUGGUUAAGCCAACAAAAAUAUUUUUUAUAAUGCAAUAUUGAGAGAGUAAACUAAUGAAAAAACAAUAAAAGCUCGGCACCGAUGUUAUGUAAUUGUUGGUGAGAGUUUAAAUUUAUUAAGGAAGUCUUAAUUUAUAAUUGAUACUUUUGUUAAGAGGUUGUGGCUUAACAGGGGGACCACUCUACAAGGGUUACUCUGUAGUCCCUCGUGAGUUUUCUACAACUAUGACAAAUUCUAUAAAACUCAUUUAGAAUAUUAUUUACUGAUGUUAUUUAUUGUAGGACAUUAAAGUGCUAUAUAAAAUUUUGUUGGAGAAGAAGUUGUGUUAUGAAUGAGUGUUUGUCCUCACUGAGUGAGAAAGUUUACGGUAUGUAAUAUUUCAUGCACAUUCUCUUGUAUUUUACACUUUGUGCUAUAAUAAUGAUUGACAUGGAUUAUUUCAUACGUUCUCUGUUAACUUUAUGUUACUACCAAAUAAAAAUAUUAUUCUUA